rnacentral:rRNA from 1 species
GGUGAACGCUGGCGGUAGGCCUAACACAUGCAAGUCGAACGGCAGCACAGUAAGAGCUUGCUCUUACGGGUGGCGAGUGGCGGGCGGGUGAGGAAUACAUCGGAAUCUACUUUUUCGUGGGGGAUAACGUAGGGAAACUUACGCUAAUACCGCAUACGACCUACGGGUGAAAGCAGGGGAUCUUCGGACCUUGCGCGAUUGAAUGAGCCGAUGUCGGAUUAGCUAGUUGGCGGGGUAAAGGCCCACCAAGGCGACGAUCCGUAGCUGGUCUGGGAGGAUGAUCAGCCACACUGGAACUGAGACACGGUCCAGACUCCUACGGGAGGCAGCAGUGGGGAAUAUUGGACAAUGGGCGCAAGCCUGAUCCAGCCAUACCGCGUGGGUGAAGAAGGCCUUCGGGUUGUAAAGCCCUUUUGUUGGGAAAGAAAAGCAGCAGGUUAAUACCCCGCUGUUCUGACGGUACCCAAAGAAUAAGCACCGGCUAACUUCGUG